GCGUUAUCCGGAAUUAUUGGGCGUAAAGCGUCCGCAGGCGGCCUUUCAAGUCUGCUGUUAAAGCGUGGAGCUUAACUCCAUUAUGGCAGUGGAAACUGAUCGGCUUGAGUAUGGUAGGGGCAGAGGGAAUUCCCGGUGUAGCGGUGAAAUUCGUAGAUAUUGGAUGGAACACCAGUGGCGAAGGCGAUUUCUGGACUGAUAUUGACGCUGAGAUGCGAAGGCAUGGGUAGCAAACGGGAUUAGAUACCCCGGUAGUCCAUGCAGUAAACGAUGGGUGCUAGUCGUCGGACUUAUGUUCGGUGUCGUAGCUAACGCGUUAAGCACCCCGCCUGGGGAGUACGGUCGCAAGAUUAAAACUCAAAUAAAUUGACGGGGACCCGCACAAGCAGUGGAGCAUGUGGUUUAAUUCGACGCAACGCGAAGAACCUUACCAGCUUUUGACAUGGGAAGUACCGGUUACAGAAUGGUAACCUUCAGUUCGGCUGGCUUCUACACAGGUGCUGCAUGGCU
rnacentral:rRNA from 1 species